UAAAUGUCUACAAAUUGGAGAUGGUUGAGAGACUCUUCUAUCUCAAACCUAGAUACCUGCUUCGAAAAUGUCUUCAUCUGAUGUGAUGUUGUUGUAGUUCAAGCCCAGUCCGCCACUCAACCUUUGACGCUCUCUGUAAAGGCUGACUGCAGACAGAUAGUCUGACACGGCUGCGUCGAUUUUGGGCGUUGCCAUCUUGCUGAUUGAUGAGAAGUCAACGAAAAUACAAGCAUCUAUCAACACCGGCUGAACACCUUCAGAGAAAUCUUGCAAGAGAGAUCAUUUUAUGAGCUAAGCGUUUUUGAUUUUACACGAAGCAACACGAACUUCAGAACCCGACAAAGAGCUUCCGGUGGUUCCGCAACUUUGACACAAUCUGAUUUGGCCAACACAAAAACUGGCUUGCAAGGGUUUAAACCAACGUAAUCGAUGGAUGCCUAGCAAAAAAAAAAUGAAGAGGAGAAGUCUAAGAAUGAAAACAACCAUCCAAUUAGUUCUGUAGAUCAAGGCACAAGUAGGAAUCGUCGAUUCUGGGGUUUCUUUGAGCGCUCAAUGAGGAAGUCCGCUCCAAACUUAUUGCAUGCAGAUGAACGUAUUGAGAGAUCCAGAGAAAACAUUGAUAGCUUGGAUUCCAAACCCAAUGAGAUCUAUCAGUUUGAACUUCUAAGGAAUGAAAUGAUAGAGCUGGAGAAGCGGGUCCAAAGAAGUACAGAUGAGUCGGUAAAUGAAGAGGGAAGUUUUGAGGAUCCUUCAUUUACCAGGUAAUGUUCUUACUUUUGUACUUUUUUCUCAUCUCUUUGAUUAAGUUGACAAACUAUCUCAUCGACUAAUUACAGAACCAUGAGGCAAACACAGUUUAUACCUCGGUUUGUUCCAUAGAUCAUUGACAAGAGUUGUGUAUAAAGCUUUGAUAUUUUUUUGCCCAUAACUAACAUUUAAUUUUUAUGAUCCUGUGCAAAUUGAUAUUACAUGAGAUGAUGGCGAUGGUCAAAAAACAUGUUUGUUAUCGUCUACUCGCUUCUCAUCACUCACGGAUACUACAUUUACCUCAUUAAGACAUGGUGCAAGAAAACGACAUGGAUGUAUUUGAUGGUACGAAAGGCUAAUUUGUGCGUUCAGGUCAAGCAUCGAGGCUGUUUCAAUAGUAGAGGAAAUGUCUUGACCAAGCAACUUUCGAUACAAAAGCGUGGAAUACAUGUACCUCAACUGUUCUGAAGUUUCUUCAUCAGAAUGGUAUAUUGAAUCAGUGUCUACAUCAACGUUAUAGGAGGCAUGACUAAGAAAUUAAGACAAGUAUUAUCUGCGGUACUUUACACUUUGUUUCUCCACUAAACAUAAACACAACAGAUCCACUGAGUCUAAAUGUAGCUUACUUUGUCUGUAUAUGAUCCCUGGGUGUGUAAACCACGCCUUCGUAAUGAUUACAGAUUGAACAGAGUCGACCUGAGA